UACGUAGGGUGCAGGCGUUAAUCGGAAUUACUGGGCGUAAAGCGUGCGCAGGCGGUUUCUUAAGUCAGAUGUGAAAUCCCCGGGCUUAACCUGGGAACUGCGUUUGAAACUGGGAGACUUGAGUGUGGCAGAGGGGGGGUGGAAUUCCACGUGUAGCAGUGAAAUGCGUAGGAGAUGUGGAGGAACACCGAUGGCGAAGGCAGCCCCCUGGGCCAAUACUGACGCUCAUGCACGAAAGCGCUGGGGAGCAAACAGG
rnacentral:rRNA from 1 species